rnacentral:rRNA from 1 species
UUUGACCUCAAAUCAGGUAGGACUACCCGCUGAACUUAAGCAUAUCAAUAAGCGGAGGAAAAGAAACUAACAAGGAUUCCCCUAGUAACUGCGAGUGAAGCGGGAAAAGCUCAAAUUUAAAAUCUGGCAGGCUCAGUCUGUCCGAGUUGUAAUCUAGAGAAGUGUUAUCCGCGCUGGACCGU